rnacentral:rRNA from 1 species
UACGGAGGGAGCUAGCGUUGUUCGGAAUUACUGGGCGUAAAGCGCACGUAGGCGGCUUUGUAAGUCAGAGGUGAAAGCCUGGAGCUCAACUCCAGAACUGCCUUUGAGACUGCAUCGCUUGAAUCCAGGAGAGGUGAGUGGAAUUCCGAGUGUAGAGGUGAAAUUCGUAGAUAUUCGGAAGAACACCAGUGGCGAAGGCGGCUCACUGGACUGGUAUUGACGCUGAAGUGCGAAAGCGUGGGGAGCAAACAGG